rnacentral:rRNA from 1 species
AGUGAACGCUGGCGGUAGGCCUAACACAUGCAAGUCGAACGGCAGCACAGUAAGAGCUUGCUCUUACGGGUGGCGAGUGGCGGACGGGUGAGGAAUACAUCGGAAUCUACUUUUUCGUGGGGGAUAACGUAGGGAAACUUACGCUAAUACCGCAUACGACCUACGGGUGAAAGCAGGGGAUCUUCGGACCUUGCGCGAUUGAAUGAGCCGAUGCCGGAUUAGCUAGUUGGCGGGGUAAAGGCCCACCAAGGCGACGAUCCGUAGCUGGUCUGAGAGGAUGAUCAGCCACACUGGAACUGAGACACGGUCCAGACUCCUACGGGAGGCAGCAGUGGGGAAUAUUGGACAAUGGGCGCAAGCCUGACCCAGCCAUACCGCGUGAGUGAAGAAGGCCUUCGGGUCGUAAAGCUCUUUUAUUGGGAAAGAACAGCUGUGUGUUAAUACCUCGCUGUUCUGACGGUACCCAAACAGUAAGCACCGGCUAACUUCGUG